UUAUGGCGUCAGAACGAACGCUGGCGGCGAUGGAUUAGGCAUGCAAGUCGAACGGUGCAGCAAUGCAUAGUGGCGCAAGGGUGAGGAACGCGUGAGUAACCUGCCCUCAAGUUGGGAACAGCUUCUGGAAACGGAAAUUAAUACCGAAUGUGACCAUAGGAAGGCAUCUUCUGUUGGUUAAAGGCCGCAAGGUCGCUUGAGGAGGGGCUCGCGUCCCAUUAUGCUAGUUGGUGAGGUAACGGCCCACCAAGGCGAAGAUGGGUAGCUGGUCUGAGAGGACGAUCAGCCACACUGGGACUGAGAACUGCCCAGACUCCUACGGGAGGCUGCAGUCGAGAAUUUUGGGCAAUGGACGAAAGUCUGACCCAGCAAAUGCCGCGUGCGGGAUGAAGGUCUUCGGAUUGCAAACCGCUGUCAAGUGGGACGAAACAAAUGACGGUACCGCUGAAGGAAGUCACGGCUAACUACGUGCCAGCAGCCGC
rnacentral:rRNA from 1 species